GCUCUUAGCUUGACUGUUCUCUCCAUUGUACGUCGCUUUGGACAAAAGCGUCUGCUAAAUGACUAAAUGUAAAUGUAAAUGAUUUCAACUGGACCAACACCAGGACCCAUUUUAACUGGACCAACACCAGGACCCAUUUCAACCGGACCAACACCAGGACCCAUUUCAACCGGACCAACACCAGGACGACUCCAGCUCUCAUUUCCAUGCCUCUGGCAGACAUCCUGCACUGACCCGUACCACAUCGGAUGAGCUGCUGGCCUGCUUCCUGUCCUGUGGUGGGUUAGGGCCGUUCUGCUUCCUGUCUACUUCCUGUGGUGGGUUAGGGCUGUUCUGCUUCCUGUCUACUUCCUGUCCUGUGGUGGGUUAGGGCCGUUCUACUUCCUGUCUACUUCCUUUCCUGUAGUGGGAUAGGGCCGUUCAGCUUCCUGUCCUGUGGUGGGUUAGGGCCGUUCUGCUUCCUGUCCUGUGGCAGGACCACAUCUCACUCCUAACAACAUUUGUGCUUUACUGAUUACUGUCUUGGACCCAUUUCACACUGAUGUGGCUGCUCCUGCUCCAGAUGCUCCUGCUCCAGAUGCUGCUCCAGAUGUUGCUGCUGCUGAUCCAGAUGCUGCUGCUCCAGAUGUUCCUGCUGCUGAUCCAGAUGUGGAUGAUUCAGAGGCGUCAGCACACGGCCAUGCUUCACGGUGCAUCUCCUCUGAGACGAGAGGGCAGACCUUAACGGCCUUCUCACAUUUCAGAGGCAGAGCUGAGAGAUGACGUCUGAGAGAUGAUGUGGUAGAUGACUCCAGUCGUCUGUCGUGGUGGUGCUUCGCUAAAGAGAUGGUGAUUGAGGCGAUUGAGCUUCACACUGUACGGCAGCUGGUGCCGGCGCAGAUGCGGCGCGGAUCCCGAGGCUGGGAGCCCAGUGCCGCUGGCGUGUGAUUGAUUCUCUGCUGCGUGGCGGUGAAGCCCGGCUGAUGGGGAUCCGGAACCAAUCCCACCUCCCUCUCAAAAUGGGAAAGCGUGUUUGGGAUUCAGAAAAGAAACUGCAAUCUGUGUUGCUUCUGUCGCAGGAUAUGCUUGAGGUCACUCUGUGUUUGGGUGUGUGUUUGUGUGUGUGUGUGUGUGUGUGUGUGUGUGUGUGUGUUUGUGUGUGUGUUUGUGUUUGUGUGUGUGUGUGUUUGUGUGUGUGUGUUUGGGUGUGUGUGUGGGUGUGUUUGGGUUUGUGUGCGUGUGUGUUUGUGUGUGUGUGUGUUUGGGUUUGUUUGUGUCUGUGUUUGUUUGGGUGUGUGUGUGUGUGUGUGUGUUUGGUUGUGUGUGUGUGUGUGUUUGGGUGUGUGUGUGUGUUUGGGUGUGUGCGUGUGUGUGUGUGUGUGUGUGUGUGUGUGUUUGGGUGUGUGUCUGUGUUUGGGUGUGUGUUUGGGUGUACGUGUGUGCAGUGGUCGGGUAGUGGUCUGUCCCAUCUGCAACCUGACAGACAUAAAAAUGAAGCCAGAAUGAAGAGCUUGAACGCGUGAAUUCCUUCCUGAUUCUCAAUCGUUGAUCAGUAAAUGAAGACAAAUGGCUUAUCAGCGGAUCAUGAUGUCCUAAUUACUUAAUAGGAUUAGUCUACAUUUCAUCAAAUCCACUUCCAUUCUAUUCCCCUAUCAUAAUAAUUACAUUUGCAGAUAAUUAUGAUUAAUCCGUUUUUGGAGUAAAGUUUUGCCAGAAGGAAAUGUGUCUGUGUAGAGUUGUGAAAGACUUUCUUGGAUGUUUCUGUUUCUGUGUGUGUGUGUGUGUGUGUGUGAGUGUGAGAAACAGCAUCUGCCAACUGUUGUCAGCCCCAAAAGCAGAACCCCCUAGAGGCCCUCCGCUCACACACACACACACACACACUUACACAUACUCAUACACACUCACACUCUCACACACACUUUAAUGUUUCUUUAUGCUUCAAGUGAGUCAAGUUUUGCUUAAAGAGAGAAAGACAGACUGCGCCUGUCUGUGUGAGAG
ensembl:lncRNA